GGACACGAGUCUCGGCAAUGGAUAUCUCGGCUCUCGCAUCGAUGAAGAGCGCAGCAAAAUGCGAUACGUGGUGUGAAUUGUAGAAUCUCGCGAACCAUCGAGUCUUUGAACACAAGUUGCGCCCAAGGCUAGCAGGCCGAGGGCAUGUCUGCCUGGGCGUCAAG
rnacentral:rRNA from 1 species